rnacentral:lncRNA from 1 species
UUAAAAAUAUCUGAAUAAUUUUUCGAUGAAGGCAAAACUAAUAUGUGGCAGUGAAUCAAGUGCUUUUCAAUAAAGCGUCAUUGUCGUUGGAGAGCUCUCCACUAAAAUUUUAUCUAAUAUAUUACCCUCCUAUUGUACUCUUCAUAAAGUAAAAUACGAUAAUCGUGUUGACGCAUUAGUGCCAAUAACACACAUAGCAUGAUAGAUUUUAUGCUAAAUUGUACUUUGAUUCUAAGGCUAUGAAUGGAAUAAUACUUUGAUCUUCAAACUUCAAUUUGAUAUAACUCCUAGCUUGAAUUUUAUAAAUUAUUAUAAUUAAGUCAUACAAUCUAAUUUAGUUAAUUAAUUGUAUAUUGAUGUGUUGUUGAUUUGAAAAUGAUGUCAUAUCUUAGCUAUUGUUGCGUCACAAUAAUGCUUUGUUCGCUUGCACAUUGGCACAUAUUAAUAUUUAGUUCAGUAAAUUAGUUCAUGGGACUUACUUUGAAAGUAAGUUUGAAUCAUAAUUUAUAACAAAACAAAAUUUUAAGAAUCAAAACUGACCCCUCCCUAGAGCAGGUGGCAAAGGGCUUAGUGGUUGGUAUCCGAGGUCCUAAGUUUGAAACUUAAUUGAUUCAUAUUUUCAGCUAUGUUUUUUUUGAAAUGAAAUAAACAAAACGGAUAGCGUGCUACCUAUCUCUCUCAAAAAAAAAAAAAAAAAAAGAAUCAAAGCAUCACAAACCUCAUCAUUUAAGAACCAAAAGUAUACAGAUAUUAUUUCGUAAAUACUACGUAUACAUUCAAAAGUGACUGUACACCCUACUCUCCAUUCAUCCAAGAGCGGAGAGUUGCGCAUUCUUGAAUAGGUGGGGGGUAAGAAAUAAUACCUACUUUUAGGUAUACUAGUCAGUGCACGUGCGUUGCACGUAUAGAUUUUUCUAAUAUAAUUAAAUAAAUCAAUAAAUUAGUGAAUAAAUAAUAUUAUAUUUAAAUAGUAAUGUCAGAUUUAAAAAAUUAUAAAAUAUUACAAACUAUGAACAAAAUACUGGAUAGAAAAUAUAGUAAAAUAAAAAUAUAAAUUUGAACAUCCAUACAUGAAAAUAGUUUAGAUUAAAAUGAAGUAAUAAAAGAAGAGUUAAAUUCAUUCUAAUUUUAUUGUCUUAGUUGUCGUCAUUGAUGAUCAUUUUUUUUUUUUUUUAAGUGAGAAAACUUUGACUCGGUGAUAUUCAUCACUGAAGCUUCGUCAUCGUCUUCAAGAAUUUUUUUAUGAGUAUAAUUUAAAGAAAAAAAAUCUUACUUCUUAUUGAUUCAAAUUUAUGUUUUUCAUUUUGCUAUAUUUUCUAUAUAUAAUACUUAUGUGUAUUUUGUUUAUAGUUUGUAAUAUUUUAUAUGGGUACCUCUCAAUUGAGUUAUGAAAUUUUGUUAGAAAAGAAAAAACAACUAUUAGUUGAACAAAUAAAACAUUCGAUUGUAUUCCUAGAAAUAUUAAUGGUCAGGAUGUAACCGAUUGUUGUUACAAAAUAAAUGUCAAGUAUUAAAGCAAAAGUUUUAUUAAAAUAACAAGAUAAAAGUGAUAAUUAAUUAGGGCUAAAUUACAGAAAAUUUUCUAUCAAAAUUUGAUUUUUCACAUUCCCCCUGUCAUUUAAAAACCUAUACUUUGCCCUCUUGUAAAAUGAAAAAUGUUCAUUUCACCCCUUACCGUUAGUGAUCCGUUAGAGUUCCGUUUAUAAAAUAUUAUUAUAUAUAUAUUUAUGUCAAAAAUGCCCUCGGUCUUCUCUCCUGUUGGCAAAAAUGAUGAGGGGCAAAAUAGUUAUUUUGUCAUCACAGUUAUACCGUACCUCUUAUGAUUAUUUUUUAUUUUACAAAGGAGCAAAGUGUAAGUUUUUAAAUGACAGAGGGAAAAAGUAAAAAUCAAGUUUUGACAGGAAGAUUUUAUAUAAUUUAGCCAUUAAUUAAUUAUUUUAUAUAAUAUUUUAGAGAAGACAAUUAAUUUACAAAGUGAAAGCAAGUUACUAUGCAACUAAUUCAUCAAAUCAUCGAAAAAUAUGAAAGUAAAUUAAAAAGAUUACUACAAGUACAAUUUUAUCGUAUACAAUUCACUCAAAUAUAAGUAAAUAAUCAAUUUUUAAAAAAAUUCAAAAAAAAGUACAUAUUAACAAAAAAAAAAUUUAAACAAAUAAUUUUACAAAACUAACUGUUCAGUAAGUGUAUGAAGACCAAUUAAAUAAAUAUCACCAAAUUGAUUGAAAUUCACAUAAUAUUCAGAAUAUUUUUUUCUAAUAGUUCUUUUCUCUUCAAAUUCAAGUUCUAAUUAAUGUCAUUGCUUAUGGCAACUUAUAUAGAAAAAAUAGAGAAAUAAUAAAAAUAAAUAAUUUACAAAUAUCUAAUAAUUAUUAAUUGCAUUUAUUUAAAGUGUACACUUUUUUAUUCAACCUUUUUAUUUUUUUAAGAAAUCUCUUUCUUUCUUGGACAAAAUAUAUCUUCUCAAUCUCUUCGUUUUUUAGAGAAGAUACCUUUUCGCCAAAACUCUUAACUCCUCGUUUCUUGGAGGAACUUUUUCAUAUCUUGGAGAAGAUACAUCUCGAUCCUUCCCACCACGUUUAUCGGAUGCCAAGACGAUGAAGAAAUCAAAUAUUAAAUUUUUUAUUUCUUUAUUAAUUGAAAAAGUUAUAAUAUUUUUGUUUGUAGAAGAAAAUAUUUAAACCUCCAUUUCUCCUAUGCUUGAAAGAUAAAAGGAUUGCACAUAAUUUUUUUCUUUCUCUACUAAUUGAAGAAACUAUAAACUAUUCAUUUCUAUGAGCACAUACAUUUCUUGGGCACUACCGGAAGAAUAAAGGUCGUUGAGUCAUAUAUAUAUAUAUAAAGCACAAUCAUUCUAAUUUAUAAAUUUAAAAUUACAAUUUAAACCUCUAUAAUAUGUAUUAUUAGAAUAAACUAUUUAUAAAAAUUAUAUUUUUAAAAAAUUAUUUUAAAAUUUAAAAUUAAAUAUAAAUUAUUUACUAUUUUUUUUAAUAUUGGCUAUAGAAAAUAUCAUACACAAGAUGAAUACUCUUUUUAAUAAAUCAUUUACUUCCUAUCAAUAAUAGAGGAUGGAAAAUGCCCACAACAUCAACCAUGAGCUAAUAAACUUUAUCUAUCAGAAUUUAAAUUUAAAUCCAAACAAUCAAACAAAUUAUGUUUAUCUAUUUUGUAAUUUUGCAUUUUAAAUAUUACAUCACUGAUUUUUAAAGGUUAACUCUGGUACACUACAUUUUUGUUUGUAGCUUCCUCAUCGAAAUUCGCAAUGUAAUUUAUGAGUUUAUUGGAACAAAAUCACAAUUAUAUUUUGUAUACAAGAGAAGGAAAAAUGUAUUUAAAUUUAAGUCCAAAGAAUUCAAAAAAAUUAUAUUUAUCUAUUAUAUGAUUUCACAUAUUUAAACUUUGCUUUAUUAAUUUUCAAAAAUGAACUCUACUACACUAUAUUUUUUUUCUCCUUCAUGAUCAAAUUUGUCUUUUAAUUUUUCUUGGUAUAAAAGUAAAAUUAAAGGUUAUAUUUUUAACCUUAAGACAAUAAUUGAAGUUUAGUGUUUUGUAAAAUUUUAUAAAUAUCUAAUUUAAUAUAAUUUUCUAUAUUAUUGUUGACGCCGGAACUUAGAGGGGACAUGGAGAUAGGACCAAUAUAACACGAUAAAUACUCGACCCGCUGUAGAAUCCACCACGUCAAACUCGAGCACACUCACCGCUAUGCGGAAUCUACCAACACAAUGGUUGAGUAACACUCUUCUCUCACAGAAAAUCCACCUAAAAGAUAGGAGGAAGAAGAAAUCCUUAUUCUCAAAUAAAAGUAGAAACUUCAACUUAACUUAACUUUCUUUUCAUUAUAAAAUCAUUACUUAUUUAUAGGCUCUCAAAUAACCCUUUAUCUUCUCUAUACAUUAAUACACUCUUUAAUUUUAUAGAGAAAGUAAAAGACACUUUUAGGAAUACUAAAAGACACACACAAUUCUAGACUAUCAUAACUCAUUUUAAGAAAACGAAAAGACAAUUAUAGAAAAACAAAGGGACACACUUAUUUCAAAACGAACAUUUAUUAAGCAAUUAAUGACUUCAUCUAUCAACUUUAGGAACGGUGUUAAUUGUGAUUUAUAAUUUAAUUAUACAACAUUGUAAUGAAUAUCUAGAUAGUAAUUAGUUGACUUUACUUUUUUUAUUUUCUAGAUAAAUAUAUUUUGUUUGGAAAAAGAAAACUCCAAACAAUUCAACAAAUAAUAUUAUUUGUUUUAUGAUUUUGCAUAUUUAAACUUUGUUUUAAUAGUUUUAAGAAAUUAACCCUACUACACUAUAUUUUUUUCACCUUCAUCAUCAUAAUUCGUCAUUUAAUUUAAAAUUUUGUUUGUACAAAAGUGUAAUUGAAGGUUAUAUAGUUAAGACACUAAUUGAAGUUUAGUAUUUUGUAGAAUUUUAAAUAUUUUUUAAAAUGAUAUAGAGAAUUUAAAUUAAAAAUAAGAAUUGCUCUAAUUUAAAAUAAUUUUCAACAUUAUAGUUAUUUAUAAGUUAAUUAUAUAACAUUAUAAUUAAUAUCUAAAUAAUAAUUAGUUGACUAUAAGUUUUUUAGAAUUUUGAGAAUAAAUGAAUUUUGUUAUGAAAAGAGAAAAAGUACUGCUUUUUCUUAAAAAAAUUUGAAAAAUUUUGUUAUACUGUAAUUUUUUUUUGAAAAGUUCUGAGGCAUAAUAAUAAAUUUUAAUUCUUGUUGAUAGUAGUUAAAAAUAAGAAAUGCUCUAAUUUAAAAUAAUUUUCAACAUUAUAGUUAUUUAUAAGUUAAUUAUAUAACAAUAUAAUUAAUAUCUAAAGAAUAAUUAGUUGACUAUAAGUUUUUUAGAAUUUUGAGUAUAAAUGAAUUUUGUUAUGAAAAGAGAAAAAAUACUGCUUUUUCUUUAAAAAAUUUGAAAAUUUUUGUUAUACUAUAAAUUUUUUUUGAAAAGUUCUGAGGCAUAAUAAUAAAUUUUAAUUCUUGUUGAUAGUAGGGCGUUCAUCUAAUCAUAUUAAGUUUUAAAAUUUUAUAUUAUUAUUUAUAAUUUAAUUAUGUAAAUUUAUUGUUAAUAUUGAACUAAUAAUAAAUUACCAAGAUACCCUUGGUAGGAGGGGGUGAGGAAAACCCACCAAAUAUAUUUGUUUAUAGUUAAUAUCAAGAUUCCUUUGGUGGGGGAGAUAAUUAGGAUUUUAAAAGGUACGUGCUAAGUAAAUACAGAGACUACAAUUUGGAGUACACUCGAAGGUAUCCAUAUCAUUUGUCUUAUUAAUAGAAUGGUCUCUCCAGUUAUUGUGUGUGAUCCUGGGAAUGAGUUUUACUAGCCGUUGCGAUUGGACAUAUAUAAUCGAUCCUGAUCACAAAGCAUGUUUUUGAAAGGAGGCGGCGGUAACAAAUAAGAAAGUUAUGGAUUUAAAAUUAGCGAGAAUUAAGGAAUUUCAUGUGAGUCCUCUGAGUUUGUGUAUUAAUAUAUAUGAGGAAUUUAUUUUGAAAAGAUUGAAAAGAUGUGUCAGAUGUUUAAUUCGGAUUUGGGCGUGUCAGUUUAUGGAAAAAAGAAUAUCAAAACUUGUAAGUGGAGAAAAUACUUUUCCUUGGUUAUGUACUUUUGCGCGAAAUAAUAACCUUUGGCUAGGUGUUAUCAGGAGCCGAAAUAUAUAGAAUACUUUUAAAAUCGCUAAAUUACUUACUAGAUGCUAUUAUUGAUUUUUGACCUGAUGGUAAAAAAAUUUGGCCGGUGGAUUUAAAAUUUAUAAGCACAAAUAAUUUAAUACUUCUAAAAGCAUUCCAAACCUAUAAGUUGUAAUUAGUUCAACAUAAAAUAAUCGUCACCUAAAAAAGUAUUUCUAGAAGUUCAUUAAUUAUCUGGUUCAGUGGUUGACCGAUAGAUAACAGUAACGGGCACCUACAUGGUAUUGAUAAUAAAUUAUUGAAUUUAAUAACGCAAACGAUAAGGUAAAGCAAAUAAUAGAAUCUCUUGUUUUAGUACGCACAAGCAUUUACGUACUAUAAUUAAUUUUCUCUGUCUCACUCUAGAGUGUGGGGAGAGAGAGAGAGAGAGAGAGAGAGAGAGAGGAGCUUUGGAUUCGUGUGGUGGGUGCGUUAGUACCGAAUUUAUUAGUGCCUGACGACACGUACUCUGUCCCGCACCAGAUACGGCUCCAAUUUUGGGUAUUCCUUUUUCUUUUCUCUUCUUUUCUUUUCUUUUUCUGUUCUUUUCUUUUCUAACGUGUGCGGUGCCGCAGUCCAUGCAGCAACUAAAGCUCACCAGACAGAAAUUGCUCUCCUUCGUACCCACAACUCAACGGAUAGAGAUUGAGAGAGCAAAGCACUGGACAUGGAUACGGGGCGAGCGCACGCGUACAGUGAUUACUCGGUCAAUCUCCACCGUCCAUGCUCCCCGAGGCUCUGAUCGAAGUUUUCGCCUACUAAUUUUAUUUCUAAUAAUAUUGAUCGAAAAUUCACGGUGAACGAUGGAGAGAAAUAAAAAAAAUAAUAAAAAAAAAAGCACACGGCGAUUCAGCUGUCAUGCUGAAAAAGGUUGUGGUUCGAGUAAGCGCUUUCCUACAUUAACGCCGCUUUGCGAAAGCUUCUUCGAAAGGGACUUUCUCAGGAUGAAACACUGCUGCAGCACUGGUUGGUCUUUGUUUGGACGGUGGUGAUCUAUUUUGGGCAUAGGAUUCAACGGCGGAGGAAUCUAGAUUUCUACUCUCUCGGAUAGGGAUGUAAUCUAGUUACAGAGCCAUGUAUAUAUAUAAUAUUAUAUAAUUAUAACUAAGCAAAGGAAGUAAGGCAAAAAAAAAAAAAAAAAAAAAAAAAAAAACUGCAACUGAACAGAGGAAGAGAAAAGUCUUACACAUUCUCUCUCAGCUCUCAACUACUGCUUGUUAAUAUUAUCCAUCAAUCAGAGCCGUUUUCGAUGAUCUCCGAUCUUCCAUCGCCUGGAUCGCUCAUCGACCGCACCAACGCGGACUCCGAACCUAUAAAUAAUGAGGAUGCGCCAAAAAUUACCUUUUUAAUAAAUUACUCUGCACAAUUUAAAUUUUAAGAUUUAAGGAGUGGAGACGGGAACCGCCGCGGCGGUGGGUAACAAUACCUCUGGGGAGUUGAGCGAGCGCUUGCAGUGCGCGAUGGCGCUCUGGAUGCCGUCCUGCUGCUGGAGAAGCGAGUCGUCGCGCCGCCGCUGCUGAGCGGCGGGCGCUGGCUGCGGCUGCGGCUGCGGCGCGCCGGCGCGGCCUCGGCGGCUGCCGACGCUGAUCGGCUCUUCCCGAGGCGCUUGCACACCACCCUCAGCCCCGCGGGGACGCUCGCCCUCGGCCCCUUCACGCCGCACGCCACCAGCGCCGUGUGAGGCGGCGGCGCCGGCCCCGCACCCUCCGCCUCCCCGUCCGUCUCGUCCCCUUCGCCUCCGGCGACGAUCCUCGCCGCCGCCGCCGCCGCCGCCGAUCCCCCGGAGCGCGGGUGCGUUGCGAACCGAAGCUUCUCGGUGUACCUCUUAGAAACCCUAACGUAGAGCGGCUUGAUCUUGCUGAGGUACCUCUUAACCGCCUCCUUGGCGAACCUCGUCUCCUCCGCCGCGGCGUCCUCCGCGGGCUUCGCCUCCUUGCUCGCGGAAACCCUCGAGCUGUUGUCCCGCGUGAAGAGGGACACGAUCGGGACCUCCUCGACCUUGAAUCUGACGAAGAACUUGCUCGGGCCCUGGUGCUUCGGCGACGUCGCCGCAGGGGCGGCGGCGCCGCCAUCGGGCUCGUCGGCGGCGGCGGAUCUCGACUUGCGGAGCCCCAGCAUGAAGACGCGGAGCUUGGUGGCGGAUUUGAGGAGGGAGAUGGGGAGCUGGGGCUUCGGAUCGGAAUCCGAGGGCGCGAUCACGACGGAGGGGGGCUCCAGUUGGACGAGCUUCCCCCCCUUGAAGAAGAUGUCGUCGGAGGGCGAGAGCGCUCCGGAGCGGGGCCCCUCGCCGGAGACGUCGAAGUUGAACUCCCCCUCCGCCUCGUCGUCCGACUCCGCGGCGGAGCUCUCCCUGUCGACGGCGUCCUCGUCGGCAGGGACGGCAAACUCGAGGUCGAAGAAGGAGCCCUCGUCGUCCUCCUCGUCGUCGUUAUGGUUUUCGUCGGUCUCCACGGCGGCGGCGGUGGCGGUGGCGGUGACAAUGGGAGCGGAGGCGGCGGCGGCGCCGUGCCAAUACUUGAGGAGGCUGAGGGUUUCCAUGGUUGGGAGAGCCACCAGAGAGAGGUAAAGUAGGACACUUGGGACUUCGGCUUCUUUAAUAAGUCUCUCUUUCUCUCUCUUUUUCACACUCUCUCUUUACUAUAAGUUUUUUAGGGAUAAAUAAGGAGAAACGCAACCUAAGAAGAGACUUGUAAGUAGGAUAAUACACCAACUUCUAUUAUGUCUCACCCUAGUCCUCAAAUUUUGAUUUAGGCUUCGUUGGGGUUACAAAAAAUUACGUUACAGUGCGGUAAAAAAGUAAGUUAAAAAAAUAUUUUGUUUAUUUUCGUAUUAAUAUAUUUUUAUUCUAUAUAUAAAACGAAGCUUGGCUAGAAACUAAAGAGACUAAAAUAGUAUAAUUAUCCUAAGUAGCUUCCUCCUCCGUCGGUAGGUCCCAUUUGAAUCCCACCAUUUUGAGACUAUUAAAGACACAAAAUGUAACUUUUUUUUUUUUUAGAGAGAAAAGUAACAUAUUAUCUGUUUCAUUUAUUUUUAAAAAAACAAAUUUAGAUGAAAAUGUAAAUUAAUUAGGAUUCGAAUUUGAGACUCAGGUAUCAAUCAACAAAUUUUUUGCCGCUAAAACUAGGAACAACAAUCGAUCAAAAUGUAACUUUUUAAGCUCUUAUAUUCCAAGGUUGGAAUGGGUUAAACACAAAAUAUAACUUUGAACCACAUGCUAGUAAUCUUCUAAAUACACUUUACUGGAGUUUAAGGAGUAUGGUUUAACUAAGUACGAUUUUUGUUCUAGUUUUCUAUUAGUAGCUGAUAUUCUUUCGUUCUCCACGUCUUCGUUGGGAUGGAAAUGGGCCGAUCAGCCCAUCAAGCGAGCCGAAAGAUAUUUGUCACGGGUAGGAUUAAUUGGUUCAUCCAUUUAGCCCGGCCCGAGAUUUAUUUGUGCUUUAAACUAUGAAUGGAUAGCUCAAUAGAACUCGGGCUUUUAUGUGAAGUACGUGAAGGGGAGAGAAUAAUGAACGAAAUAUAGUUAAUGAAUCAGAUUUGAAACGGACCGUUUUGAGGUGUUCUAACUUUUGAGAAUCUAAGGUUCCUUUCAAGGGGUUACUAAACGGGCCAAACAGUUUUUUUUUUUUUUUAAAGAUAGGCAGCAUGCUACCUGCUUCGUUUAUUUUUUUUAGAAAUAAAAUUAAUUGAAAAUGUGAAUCAACUAGAAUUCGAACUUGAUACCAACCACCGAACCUUUUGCCAUUUGCGUCACGUACGGUCGGUGGGCCAAACAACUUCUAUUAGUGAUAAAAUAUUACUUAACACCUCCAACUAAAUUACUCAAUCCAAUAAGUUGAAACUAAUAAAGAAAACAUUGGGAAAAGCAUAUUAGUUGACUGACUCCAAUCUCCAAGUAUUUAUUUCAAGCUCAUCUCUACUUAUUUUCUUUAGCCUCCAGUAACUUACAAGACCACAAAUCCUUCCAAUUCCUUAUAGCAUUUUCCCCUUAAAUUACAGGUGCUCUCUUUUUCCUUCUCUUUCUAUCUUUUAUUCUUUUUAGCACUCUAAAUUUACUGCUAUUAUGGUUGAAAGUUUGAUUCUUAUGGGUAGCUCUAUAUAUAUUCCUUGUUUCAUGAGCAAGCAACUUGUAUUGUGUUGAUUUUUCUCCAAGGUUUUUAGCUUUUAGAAUGUAGAAUUUUCUCUUUUUUUUGGGGGAGGGGUCAAAUCUGAUGAAGGUGGAAAUGAGAUUCUCAAAUCAGUUUUUGAAGUUUGGACUAAAGAAGGGGCUAUAUGCAUUCACCUUUCUUCUAGCCAUGUUGAUAAUUCUCCUCAGUGUGGCCUCACUCUCAAAAUUUUAUUCCCAAAGCUCCAUUUUGAGCACCUACAAAUUUGGCAUAUAUGGUGAUGUGCACAAUAAGAGAAUGGAAGAUAGAGUUGAUGAGAUCAUGGAUACAGUUAUGAACAAGCUUGUUGAAGAGAUAGAGCAUCUAAAGGAGCUAACAAGAGAUUCUGGAGCAGACCAAUCUGAGUUGAAGCAUGAGAGAUUGAAACACACUUCUUUUCUCAUUGAAAUGUUAGGCCUAGUGGGCUCUGCUAAGUCCGUGCUGCCUAGUGAGCGGCGACAUGCUCCUCACGGAGAAAGCCUCGGCCGUAAUGCUCAUCCGUUGUCUAAGAGUGGUCAACCGUACGAUGAAAUGAUCGAAUACUUUCUUGUGGAGGAGAUAAGGAAGUAUGCGAGGAUUAAGCCGAGCAGGCUGGGGAAGCAGAAUUUCAUGGGCGCCAACGGGACGUUCACGAGCAUCGGCCAUGCGUGUUUUGCGAUGAAAGAAGAGCUCGAGGAGUACAUGGACUACGAUGUGGGCGACUUCUGCAAAGAUGAUUGGAGACAGGCCCAGAGACUAAUGGUCCACGGCUGCGACCCCUUACCUAGAAGGAGAUGCUUUUCUAGAGCUCCAAAGCUAUAUGCUAAGCCUUUUCCUAUAAAUGAAUCCAUGUGGAAGCUCCCUGACGAUCGGAACGUGCGGUGGAGCCAAUACAGAUGCAAGAACUUUGCUUGCCUCGCGAAGAACGCCACGAAGAAAGGUUUUUUCAAGUGUUCUGAUUGCUUUAAUCUCACGCGCCAUGAAAUGCCCAGAUGGAUGGAGUUGGUCUAUCCUGAUCCUGCUUCGAACUUAACAGCUGAUUUCCUCAUCAAAGAAGUUCUUCAACUUAAACCUGGGGAGAUAAGGAUAGGGCUGGAUUUCAGUGUAGGGACCGGAACAUUUGCCGCGAGGAUGAGGGAGUUCAAUGUGACUAUCGUGUCAGCUACUAUAAACCUUGGAGCUCCCUUUAACGAGAUGAUUGCUUUACGAGGGCUCGUUCCUAUCUACUUGACUAUUAAUCAGAGGCUUCCCUUCUUCGACAACACGCUCGAUAUCAUCCACACGACGAGGUUUCUCGAUGGUUGGAUCGAUCUCAUACUCUUGGACUUUGUUUUGUAUGAUUGGGAUAGGGUUCUUAGACCCGGUGGCUUAUUAUGGAUCGACAGUUUCUUUUGCGCGAAGGAGGAUUUGGACGAUUAUUUGGAGGCGUUUAAGAUUCUGCGGUACAAGAAGCACAAGUGGGUUAUUGUACCAAAGAUGGAUAAAGAUGGUGAGGAAGUGUUCUUCUCAGCAGUUCUGGAGAAGCCACCUCGGCCUUUCUGAGGUGAUACAUGAGUUACUGUUUCAUUCUUGUUGAUGUUUCCACAUUCUGUAGUAUCUUGUUUCACGCUUUAGACGAACUUUUAAGUGAAGAGGGUGCUAAUGGCUUAUUCUAGAGCAUGUGUGCAAAAAUCAGUUGUGGAAGUUAUCAAGAGAUGAACUUCAAAUUGUAUCAGCAGUUUCAAACCCAGCUAAACUUGCUGUGCUCUGUACUGAAAAGGUUUCGCUGAUUAACUGUACCAAACAUUACAUGCUGCUUCUUCUUCUUCAUCUAAUUGUGAAGUGGUGCCUAAGGUAUGAAAGGACAACAGUUUUGAUCAAUUUGUUGCUUCCUUUUUUUCCUCUUCUUCUUUUUCUGUUUCCGGCUUUCCACUGGACAGAAUCUCUCUCAUUGCCAACAGCUAAUAAUAUUAAGACCUAGGUUUGGAUGCUAAUGUUUAUUGAACGUUGUUUGCAAAACAUGCUUGCCUACUUGUCAUGUUCUUCCUUUUUUUUUUUUUUCCAUUUUCGUUGUUGGGUAAAAAUCGGUACAAAGUUCAGUCAAAGGAUCAUUUCAUUAAGACCAUUAAAUGAAAGUUACUAUGUACAAGUUGCCAUUUCAAUUUGCUUGAUUAUUCUUUAAUUAUUACCGGUGAGAAGUAUGGCUUUUCAAACAGUCUCUUUAUUUGAGAAGUAAAAAUAAAGCAUUUCACAUGCGACAUAGUAGUCUAAAAUUUGUUGCAUCAGGUAAUUUAAUUAAUUUGGACUCCAAGAGCUUAAGCUUUAAUGUUAGAACUCCUGAGUCCUGUCUAGUAUAAGCGAGAAGGCGUUGAGAAAACUUGGCAAAUGAGUUUCUGCAGAUUCUUGGGCAGCAGCUCCAGGCAACAAAGUCUCUUGGCCUGCAGCACAUGAACUUUUUCCGGGUUUUGACCAUUUUUCCUGUAAUUAUCUUAAUUUACAGCGACAGUGAAAUAUAGCGGAGGACACUCGACAGUGAACAAUAAAAAUAACAGCGGGGCGAAUUUUCUGCAAAGCAUGUCUUCCAAAAAGCUAGCGCUUCUUCUACCAACACUACUUGAAUUGAAACUUUUAAAAUAAAAUUGCUGGGCUGAUGCAUUCACUGAGUUAGAUGUAUGUAAAAAUUCUCAGAUAGUUAGUAGAGAGCCAUUUUUAAAAAUUUUGAAACGCAACGGUCAGAGAUUUUUUUUUUU